CCGGCAUCUUGUUAACCUAGCGGUGGAGGAGAAGGAAUGGGAGCUUGAAUUAUUUAGUGCGUGGACUCGGUUUCCCAGAAGUCUCCGCGCGGGUGAGAGAGUUACGUAGAGGUUGGAGGCGGGCCCAAGUGUGAGCUCAUCCACAGCCAGAGAGCAUCUAGUCACUAGUAAAAACAGCUGCACUUUGACUUUGAACGACUUAAUGUGUACGGUUUUAUAUUUAAUUUACUUGUGUUCUGAAAAUAUGAUUUGUUUGAUAACAAACUUCGACGGACAGUUAGCUGUUGGCUAUUAAAGUGAAGAGGCUGCACACAUCCGGGGCUGAAAAAACCUUCCUUGACUGAUCCCACCCUGUAUGAUAAAGAUGGCGAGAGAUGAUGAGAGCAUUUGGUAGUUCAUUCUUGCCCAGUCCUCGUUUGAUUAGAAAUAUUUUGCCGGGAAAGCUAGGA